CAGCAGUAGCCGCGGGAAUACAGAGGGUGCGAGCGUUAAUCGGAUUUACUGGGCGUAAAGCGUGCGUAGGCGGCUUUUUAAGUCGGAUGUGAAAUCCCUGAGCUUAACUUAGGAAUUGCAUUCGAUACUGGGAAGCUAGAGUAUGGGAGAGGAUGGUAGAAUUCCAGGUGUAGCGGUGAAAUGCGUAGAGAUCUGGAGGAAUACCGAUGGCGAAGGCAGCCAUCUGGCCUAAUACUGACGCUGAGGUACGAAAGCAUGGGGAGCAAACAGGAUUAGAUACCCGAGUAGUCCCUGUCUCUUAUAC
rnacentral:rRNA from 1 species